rnacentral:rRNA from 1 species
GACGAACGCUGGCGGCGUGCUUAACACAUGCAAGUCGAACGGAAAGGCCCUGCUUUUGUGGGGUGCUCGAGUGGCGAACGGGUGAGUAACACGUGAGUAACCUGCCCUUGACUUUGGGAUAACUUCAGGCAACUGGGGCUAAUACCGGAUAGGAGCUCCUGCUGCAUGGUGGGGGUUGGAAAGUUUCGGCGGUGGGGGAUGGACUCGCGGCUUAUCAGCUGGUUGGUGGGGUAGUGGCUUACCAAGGCUUUGACGGGUAGCCGGCCUGGGAGGGUGACCGGCCACAUUGGGACUGCGAGACGGCCCAGACUCCUACGGGAGGCAGCAGUGGGGAAUAUUGCACAAUGGGCGGAAGCCUGAUGCAGAAACGCCGCGUGCGGGAUGCCGGCUUUCGGGUUGUAAACCGCUUUCGCCUGUGACGAAGCGUGAGUGACGGUAAUGGGUAAAGAAGCACCGGCUAACUACGUG